rnacentral:rRNA from 1 species
AUACGAAGGAUGCAAGCGUUACUCGGAAUUACUGGGCGUAAAGCGUGCGUAGGUGGUUGUUUAAGUCUGUCGUGAAAGCCCUGGGCUCAACCUGGGAAUGGCGAUGGAAACUGGGCGACUAGAGUGUGGCAGAGGGUAGUGGAAUUCCUGGUGUAGCAGUGAAAUGCGUAGAGAUCAGGAGGAACAUCCGUGGCGAAGGCGACUGCCUGGGCCAACACUGACACUGAGGCACGAAAGCGUGGGGAGCAAACAGGAUUAGAUACCCUGGUAGUCCACGCCCUAAACGAUGCGAACUGGAUGUUGGGUGCAAUUUGGCACGCAGUAUCGAAGCUAACGCGUUAAGUUCGCCGCCUGGGGAGUACGGUCGCAAGACUGAAACUCAAAUGAAUUGACGGGG